rnacentral:rRNA from 1 species
UACGUAGGGGGCAAGCGUUGUCCGGAUUUAUUGGGCGUAAAGAGCGUGUAGGCGGCCAUACAGGUCCGUUGUGAAAACUCGAGGCUCAACCUCGAGACGUCGAUGGAAACCGUAUGGCUAGAGUCCGAAAGAGGGUCGCGGAAUUCCCGGUGUAGAGGUGAAAUUCGUAAGAUAUCGGGAGGAACACCGGUGGGCGAAGGCGGCCGACC